AUUUCAGAGUGGAACUUUUGCUCAGAACUUUCUUAGUGUUCUCUCCUUCCCCUCUUGUCUCCUGUCUUUCCCCCAUCUCUGGCUUCUGUAGAAUCAAGGGGGCUGAAUAUACUUUGCACCCUCCAAAUACAUACUUUGAAACUCAGCAAUGUUUUGUUUUUCUUGGCAUAGCACAAGGAAACCAUGAACUUUUCACUGGGGUUUAACUCAAAACACUUGCAUGAUGUAUAUGUUCUCAUGUGCUACCAGGAGGCCCACAAACAUGACACUAUGGAGUAUGAAAGAAGCAUUUAUGUAGUUCCUGUCAUGGCACAGCAGAAACGAAUCCGACUAGGAACCAUGAAGUUGUAGGUUCGAUCCCUUGCCUCGCUCAGUGGGUGAAGGGUCUGGGGUUGUGUGAGCUGCGGUGUAGGUUGCAGACACAGCUUGGAUCCUGCGUUGCUGCGGCUGUGGUAUAGGCCAGAAGCUCUGAUUUGACCCCUAGCUGGGGAAUAUCCAUAUGCCACAAGUGCAGCCUUACAAAGCAAAAAAAAAAAAAAAAAAAAAAAAGAAAGAAGCAUUUCUAUUACAAUUCAAAAAAUGUAUUCUAUUCUGCAAUUUUGCAAACAUCAGGCUAAGGUUUCCAGUGAUAGUAUUUUGUAGUUGAUAGUCUGGUGAUCUGAUAUGGCAGCAGACCAAUAUCUGUAAGUUUUUACCAUUUCUUCAACAUUCAGAAUACCAUUUGGAACAGUUUUUAUAUGCACAGAAUUUUUGUGUCUUAACCACAGGCCUCGAUGGAAAGCGUGUGAUUGUAGCGGCUCUCAUGCUAGUCUUUUUUUUUUUUUAAUUUUUCUUCUUCUCUUCAAACCAUGCAGUAAUAAUGGUAAUAAAUGACUGUAUAUUUUUUCUGACAAAGAAGUUUAAAUCAUUGGCAUCAUCAUUUGAUGUUUUGGGAAGGAAUGUUUUUGAUUUUGUUUUGAGUCAUUGCCAGUUGUCAGCCCUAAUUUGACAUGAAACCUGAAGGUUUGGAGAGGUUUUUUUUAAACUUUUUAUUUUUAGAUAGGACUCUCUACUUUUUAAUGUUUCUGGCUGCUUUGUUAGAGAUCAUAGUCACACAUAUACAUCGCAAGUGUGAGUGAAGAUUUCUUUCUUUCUCUCUAAUAUAAAUCCCUUGAUAUUUAUUUAUUUAUUUAUUUAUUUAUUUUUGCCAUUUCUUGGGCCGCUCCUGCGGCAUGUGGAGGUUCCCAGGCUAGGGGCCCAGUCGGAGCUGUAGCCACUGGCCUACGCCAGAGCCACAGCAACGCGGGAUCCGAGCCGCAUCUGCAACCUACACCACAGCUCACGUCAACACCGGAUCGUUAACCCACUGAGCAAGGGCAGGGACCGAACCUGCAACCUCAUGGUUCCUAGUCGGGUUCGUUAUCCACUGCGCCACGACGGGAACUCCCUCCCUUGAUAUUUAGAUUGCAUUCCCAGUUUAAUGAGUUUUAGGGAUGUACAUAGGUAUGGACUGGCCUAGAGAUUAGCAGAGAGAUCACUGUAAUUUCCACUAUCAUUUUUAGGAAUUGACCUGAUUGUACUUAAUUUAUAAAAGUGUAUGCCUAAUUUCAAAGGGUUGUAAGAUUUGUGAUGGAAAAUAAAUCGCUUAGCAAAUAACAUAGUCUUCUACUUCUUAAACUCCAGGCAUUAGACUGAGCUGCACAAUUUAACAAUUCAAUUCAAUAAAUAGUAAUGAACACCUACCACGAUCCAGCCACUGUUAAGAGAUGCCGGGAUUGUGAAGAUGAGUAACACAUUGUCCCUAAGGACGUGGGUUGGGAAUGGGGAAACAGAUGUUAUAGCUAAUGGACAUCUGCAUUGUGCUUUAGCAUUUGCCAUUUAAUUUUAACUCUAAAAUACGGUUUAACAAAGAAGAAUUAUGCUUCCUCCUCUCUUCUUAAUUUUAAGAAUAUCUGCAAAAUCCUUUUAUGUAGAUUGAAUUCCACAGAAUCAAAUUAACGAUAUCCUGUGUUUGGUGAGGAGAAAAAAAUGACUUCCUAUGAUAGUUGCGAUAGUGGUAAUAGUAAUAGCAGAAGUGCGAAUGAUGACAGUGGUAUGUCAGAAACUUAUUGAGCCUCUCUCAUGGAUCAGGUGUGGUCCUAAAUACAUUUUACAAUUCAUCUCACUUUAUCCUUACGUAUUAGUUUAAGUCUUUCCAGAAGCAAAUGCCAAGGCAGAGUCAACAGGCAAGCAUUUUGUAAAACUGCCUUUGAGAGGAAAUGGGGAGUGAGCUGGGAGAGGCUGGAGGGUCUGCCAGGUUUUGAUGCACAUUUCACCUCAGGUGAGAGAGAGAGAGAGAAGGAAGUUCAGGUAGAAGGAUCUGAUGAGAUUGCCAUUAGUUUGGGGAAAAGCUAGGCUAGCUCAGUGGGGAGUCCUUGAGUCAAAAUUAGACAUUAAGACGUCACUUUGCUGUACAGCAGAAAUUGACAGCACAUUGUAAAUCAACUAUAAUUAAAAAAUUAACGGGAGUUACCAUCAUGGUGCAAUGGAAACGAUUCUGACUAGGAACCAUGAGGUUGCAGGUUUGAUACCUGGCCUCGCUCAGUGAGUUAAGGAUCCCAUGCUGCCGCAAGCUGUGGUUUAGGUCGCAGACACGGCUCUGAUCUGACAUUGCUGUGGCUCUGGCAUAAGCCAGCAGCUACAGCUCUGAUUAGACUCCUGCCGAGUCCAGCUCAGCAGGAUGGGGCUGAAGAACGGGUGCUAUGGAACUUAAGGAGAAAAAAGUUAACAUAAAACAAGACACAGAGACAUUUACCUUAAGUAAAGGUGGAAACCCGGGGACUCACGGUCUCAAGGACCAAAAGCCCCGCCUCAAGAAACCACACUGCUUUUAUUGUGCUCUGAGGAUUACUUCAAGCAAAAGGGGGUUGUAGGUGCAGGGUAUAGGUUUUUUUUAAUUAUUAUUUUAAAAGUCACUUAGCUGGUAAAUGGUUAAACUUUUUACCCUAAACUUUAGGCAUUUAAGAAUCGUUAACAUUCGAGUUAGCUAUCUAUGCAUAGCAUUUCAGAUAAUCCUCACUGUGCUUCUGCAAAGGGCAGGCUUGCUUGUGGCAACCCUGGGUGCCUAGGUUUGCACCUUGGUUCUCUUUUCUAAUGCAUAUUCUGUUUACGGCCACUCAUAAACCACUUGGUCAUGAGGUUCCUCUUUCUCUUAUUCUUUAGAGGACAUAUCAUGCUUGUGCAAAUGGUGUGCCAUUCUGCACAGGUCGGUGGGCUGAGACCAUUGUAUUAUGUCCUCAUUCAGCUGACCCCGCGAAUAACCCAUGCCCUUAGGUCUUUGUUCUUAAGCUUAAGUCAUUUACCAUCACCAAGACUGUUUUUCAAGCAGGAAGACUGGACAAAGUAAGGAAAGACAAGAUGGAGUUUUCAGCAAACAGGCUAAGAAAAUAUUAUAAAAACAUGUCUCGCAACAGACCCCUAGCCUGGGAACCUCCAUAUGUCUCCGUUGUGGCCCUAAAAAGACAAGAAGACCAAAAAAAUAAAAAAUAAAAUAAAAAAA
rnacentral:lncRNA from 1 species